rnacentral:misc_RNA from 1 species
AACCAUAGAAACCUGCGGAGUACCUGCGGAAGGAUCAUUAUUGAUUGAUAAAAGGAUGUGCUGGCAAAUACUAAUUUUUUGCAUUGUGCACUCCUGAAAUCUUCAUCCACCAGUGCACUUUGUAGACAAAAAUCAAUGAAUUAAUUUUGUUGUUUUUUGUCUAUGCUCCUUACACACAUUAUCAGUUUUAUGGAAGAUGUUCUUGACUUCAAAGUCAAAAAUUUAAAACAACUUUCAACA